rnacentral:rRNA from 1 species
GCUUGUCUCAAAGAUUAAGCCAUGCAUGUCUAAGUGUAAAUACGUCUACACUGUGAAACUGCGAAUGGCUCAUUAAAUCAGUUAUCGUUUAUUUGAUGAUCUCUUGUUACAUGGAUAACCGUAGUAAUUCUAGAGCUAAUACAUGCGUAAAGUCCUUGUGCUUGCAUGAGGAUGUAUAUAUUAGAUUGAAACCAAUCGGUCUUUGACUGUAUUGUGGUGAGUCAUAAUAUCUUAUCGGAUCGCAGUGGCUAAUGCCGGCGAUGAAUCAUUCAAGUUUCUGCCCUAUCAGCUUUCGAUGGUAGUGUAUUGGACUACCAUGGCGGUAACGGGUAACGAAGAAUAAGGGUUCGGUUUCGGAGAGGGAGCCUGAGAGAUGGCUACCACAUCCAAGGAAGGCAGCAGG